rnacentral:rRNA from 1 species
AAGCAGCAAUAGCUCAAAUUUGAAAUCUGGCGUCUUCGACGUCCGAGUUGUAAUUUGUAGAGGAUGCUUCUGAGUGGCCACCGACCUAAGUUCCUUGGAACAGGACGUCAUAGAGGGUGAGAAUCCCGUAUGCGGUCGGAAAGGCGCUCUAUACGUAGCUCCUUCGACGAGUCGAGUUGUUUGGGAAUGCAGCUCUAAAUGGGAGGUAAAUUUCUUCUAAAGCUAAAUAUUGGCCAGAGACCGAUAGCGCACAAGUAGAGUGAUCGAAAGAUGAAAAGCACUUUGGAAAGAGAGUUAAAAAGCACGUGAAAUUGUUAAAAGGGAAGGGAUUGCAACCAGACUUGCUCGCGGUGUUCCGCCGGUCUUCUGACCGGUCUACUCGCCGCGUUGCAGGCCAGCAUCGUCUGGUGCCGCUGGAUAAGACUUGAGGAAUGUAGCUCCCUCGGGAGUGUUAUAGCCUCUUGUGAUGCAGCGAGCGCCGGGCGAGGUCCGCGCUUCGGCUAGGAUGCUGGCGUAAUGGUCGUAAUCCGCCCGUCUUGAAACACGGACCAAGGAGUCUAACAUCUAUGCGAGUGUUCGGGUGUCAAACCCCUACGCGUAAUGAAAGUGAACGGAGGUGAGAACCCGCAAGGUGCAUCAUCGACCGAUCCUGAUGUCUUCGGAUGGAUUUGAGUAAGAGCAUAGCUGUUGGGACCCGAAAGAUGGUGAACUAUGCCUGAAUAGGGUGAAGCCAGAGGAAACUCUGGUGGA